CGGGACUUGACCGGAGAGGUGGGUCAACAGAAGCCAGCUGUUUGUUGGUCCAGAGUGGUGGCUCGAGCCUACCGUCCCAGCACUCGGCAGCAGGGGCUUGAGGGUCCGGGGGAGGCCCUGAGGCCGGGGAAUUGCGCCCACUCUGGCCUGGAGCGCAAGCUCUUCGUACAUCACACUACCCUGAGACAGGGUUUCUCUAUAUAACCCAAGCAGUCCUGGAACUCAUGUAUAUAGACCAGGAUGGCUUCAAACAUCUCAGGGAUCUUCCUGCCUCUACCUCCUGAAUGCUGGAAUUAAAUGCAUGUGUCACCUCA